AGCAGCCGCGGUAAUUCCAGCUCCAAUAGCGUAUAUUAAAGUUGUUGCAGUUAAAAAAGCUCGUAGUUGAAUUUCGGGAUCAAUACGUCGGUCGUGCUUCGGUACGUACUGGCGUAAUUGAUUUCUCCCUUCUGACGAACCAUGAUGUCAUUAACUUGGUGUCAUGGGAAAUCAGGACUGUUACUUUGAAAAAUUAGAGUGUUUAAAGCAGGCUCACGCUUGAAUACAUUAGCAUGGAAUAAUGAAAUAGGACGUUUGAUUCUAUUUUGUUGGUUUCUAGGAUCGACGUAAUGAUUAAUAGGGAUAGUUGGGGGCAUUAGUAUUCAAUUGUCAGAGGUGAAAUUCUUGGAUUUAUUGAAGACUAACUACUGCGAAAGCAUUUGCCAAGGAUGUUUUCAUUAAUCAAGAACGAAAGUUAGGGGAUUCGAAGACGAUCAGAUACCGUCGUAGUCUUAACCAUAAACUAUGCCGACUAGGGAUCGGAUGAUGUUAAUUUUUAAUGACUCAUUCGGCGUCCG
rnacentral:rRNA from 1 species